AGAACGAACGCUGGCGGCAUGCCUAAUACAUGCAAGUCGAACGAACUCUUCGGAGUUAGUGGCGCACGGGUGCGUAACGCGUGGGAAUCUGCCCCUUGGUUCGGAAUAACAGUUGGAAACGACUGCUAAUACCGGAUGAUGACGAAAGUCCAAAGAUUUAUCGCCAAGGGAUGAGCCCGCGUAGGAUUAGCUAGUUGGUGAGGUAAAGGCUCACCAAGGCAACGAUCCUUAGCUGGUCUGAGAGGAUGAUCAGCC
rnacentral:rRNA from 1 species